UGCCGAUUGGCCCAGUGGUAAAGGCGUCCGACUGUUACUUUCUCUUCAACUUUAGAAGUACAUCGGAAGAUCGUGAGUUCGACCCUCACAUUGGCAG